GAGUAGACCAGAGAAAGCCCGUGCCUAGCAACGAAGACCCAGCACAGCCCAAAAUAAAUAAAUUAAUUAAAACCUUGAGGGUGUUUUACGUUUUUUUGGUACUAAGUUUUCAAAAUCCGGUGUGUAUGUUACGCUUACAACCCGUCUCUAUUCAGAUUCAACCACGGUUCUGUGGCAAAUGUGACGAGAGGGCCUCGAGUGGGAGCUGGGGAAAAUGCUGUUCUCAGCUCCAACCACAAGGGGGUCACUGACCACACCUUGCAUUGGGUGGCCAUUGACGGAAGAGCAAAGUCUUUCCUUCCGCUGCCUGGCUGGGGAGCUUUGCUCUCUCCUCCCACCUCCCCACCGGUCCCCCUGGCCUGAGCCCGCCUCCAAGGGCGAGAGACACAGUCUGGCAGAAACCUGAAGGUCCCCUGUGAACACUGGAAACCUUCCAUGACCUCAAGAUCCAUGUGUACAUUCAUUCAUUCAUUCAUUCUGCAAAUAUUUAUUGAGCACCCAAUUUGUGACAGCAAUGAACAAAACAAAAACCUGCCCUCAUGGGAGAGGCCAGAAAAGGAGGAAAAUAAGUAGAGUAUGUAGUGUGUCAGAUGGUGAUAAACUGAUUAAUCGGAGGAUGGGAAGCAUGCCACACGUGUAUGUAGGGUGGAUACGGCAGACCUCGAGGAGAAGACGACAUUUGAGCAGAGACCCACACAGGGUGAGGCAGUGGGCUCUGCAGAUGUGCGGGAAGGGCGAUGCUGGCCAGGGAACAGCGUGUGCGCACGCCAAGGGAGGCAGGCGAGUGGUGGAGCGGGUAACUGGAGGAGAGAGGGGACAUGGGUUCGAUCCUUGAUCCUGGAAGAU